ACGGGUGAGUAACGCGUGGGUAACCUGCCUCAUACAGGGGGAUAACAGUUAGAAAUGACUGCUAAUACCGCAUAAGCGCACAGUGCUGCAUAGCACAGUGUGAAAAACUCCGGUGGUAUGAGAUGGACCCGCGUCUGAUUAGGUAGUUGGUGAGGUAAUGGCCCACCAAGCCGACGAUCAGUAGCCGACCUGAGAGGGUGACCGGCCACAUUGGGACUGAGACACGGCCCAAACUCCUACGGGAGGCAGCAGUGGGGAAUAUUGGACAAUGGGGGAAACCCUGAUCCAGCGACGCCGCGUGAGUGAAGAAGUGUUUCGGCAUGUAAAGCUCUAUCAGCAGGGAAGAAAAUGACGGUACCUGACUAAGAAGCCCCGGCUAACUACGUGCCAGCAACCGCGGUAAUACGUAGGGGGCAAGCGUUAUCCGGAUUUACUGGGUGUAAAGGGAGCGUAGACGGCUCUGCAAGUCUGGAGUGAAAGCCCGGGGCUCAACCCCGGGACUGCUUUGGAAACUGUGGAGCUAGAGUGCAGGAGAGGUAAGUGGAAUUCCUAGU
rnacentral:rRNA from 1 species